GACGAACGCUGGUGGCGUGCUUAACACAUGCAAGUCGAACGGAAAGGCCCUGCUUUUGUGGGGUGCUCGAGUGGCGAACGGGUGAGUAACACGUGAGUAACCUGCCCUUGACUUUGGGAUAACUUCAGGAAACUGGGGCUAAUACCGGAUAGGAGCUCCUGCUGCAUGGUGGGGGUGGGAAAGUUUCGGUGGUUGGGGAUGGACUCGCGGCUUAUCAGCUUGUUGGUGGGGUGGUGUGUGACCAAGGCUUGGACGGGUAGCCGGCCUGAGAGGGUGACCGGCCACGCUGGGACUGAACUGCGGCCCAGACUCCACCGGGACGCAGCAGUGCGGAAUAUUGCACAAUGGGAGGAACCCUAAUGCAGCAACGCCGCGUGCGGGAUGACGGCCUUCGGGUUGUAAACCGAUUUCGUCUGUGACGAAGCGUGAGUGACGGUAAUGGGUAAAGAAGCACCGGCUAACUACGUG
rnacentral:rRNA from 1 species